GGCCAGGUCUUGCGCAAUCCAGGCUUGUGAACUCCGCCAGGACCGGAAGGUAGCAACGGUAAGCGAUACCCUGGAUGUGCCGCAAUCAACCUGGCCUUA
rnacentral:SRP_RNA from 1 species